rnacentral:rRNA from 1 species
AGUGAACGCUGGCGGUAGGCCUAACACAUGCAAGUCGAACGGCAGCACCGUACGAGCUUGCUCUUACGGGUGGCGAGUGGCGGACGGGUGAGGUAUAUAUCGGAAUCUACUCUUUCGUGGGGGAUAACGUAGGGAAAGCUACGCUAAUACCGCAUCCGCCCCACGGGUGAAAGGAGGGGAUCUUUGCACCUUUCGCGAUUGAAUGCGCCGCUGAGGGACUAGCUGGUUGGGGGGGUAAAUGCCCACCAUGGCGGCGAUCCGUAGCUGGACUGUGAGGAGGGUCGGCCACAUGGGAACUGAGACACGCUCCAGACGCCUACGGGAGGGAGCAGUGGGGAAUAUUGGGCAAUAGGCGCGAACCUGGUCCAGCCAUACCGAGUGGGUGGAAAAAACCUUGCGUUUGUAAAGCCCUUUUGUUGGGAAAGAAAAGCAGCAGGUUGAUACCCCGCGUUUCUGACGGUACCCAAAAAAUAAGCACCGGCUAACUACGUG